GCCGCUCCCGGAUCGCGUUGCGGUCCGCCGCCGGCGUCGGCGCCGACCGGGUCCGGUAGGCGCGGGUGCGGCACGCCGGCGAGCAGUACC
rnacentral:tRNA from 1 species